rnacentral:tRNA from 1 species
GCGAGGGUGGCGGAAUUGGCAGACGCGCCGGAUUUAGGUUCCGGUGGGGGUAACCCCGUGGAGGUUCAAGUCCUCUCCUUCGCA